rnacentral:tRNA from 1 species
GGUAGAGCACACGACUGUUAAUCGUGUUGUCGUCGGUUCGAGCCCGACAUUCGGAG